rnacentral:rRNA from 1 species
GUGCCAGCAGCCGCGGUAAUACGGAGGGAGCUAGCGUUGUUCGGAAUCAUUGGGCGUAAAGCGCGCGCAGGCGGUUGGGUAAGUCAGGCGUGAAAUCCCAUGGCUCAACCAUGGAAUUGCGUCUGAAACUGCCCGGCUAGAGUUCGGGAGAGGGAAGCGGAAUUCCCAGUGUAGAGGUGAAAUUCGUAGAUAUUGGGAGGAACAUCGGUGGCGAAGGCGGCUUCCUGGACCGAUACUGACGCUGAGGCGCGAAAGCCAGGGGAGCGAACGGGAUUAGAUACCCCGGUAGUCCUGUGCUGUAAACGAUGGUCACUAGGUGUAGGAGGUAUCGACCCCUUCUGUGCCGUAGCUAACGCAUUAAGUGACCCGCCUGGGGAGUACGGCCGCAAGGUUAAA